GACGAACCACACAAACGUUAUUCGGAAUUACUGGGCUUAAAGGGUGCGUAGGCUGCGCAGAAAGUUGGGUGUGAAAUCCCUCGGCUCAACCGGGGAACUGCGCCCAAUACUACUGUGCUCGAGGGAGACAGAGGUGAGCGGAACUUAGGGUGGAGCGGUGAAAUGCGUUGAUAUCCUAAGGAACACCCGUGGCGAAAGCGGCUCACUGGGUCUCUUCUGACGCUGAGGCACGAAAGCUAGGGUAGCGAACGGG
rnacentral:rRNA from 1 species